rnacentral:rRNA from 1 species
GAUGAACGCUGGCGGCGUGCUUAACACAUGCAAGUCGAACGUGAGAAUAGCAAUAUUUGAAAGUGGCAAACGGGUGAGUAACACGUGGGAACCUGCCUCGAAGUGGGGGAUAACGAUUGGAAACGGUCGCUAAUACCGCACGGUUCUGCUCUGAUGGGAAUGGAGCAGAUAAAGAUUUAUCGCUUUGAGAGGGGCCCGCGGCCGAUUAGCUAGUUGGUAAGGUAAAGGCUUACCAAGGCGAUUAUCGGUAGCUGGUCUGAGAGGACGAUCAGCCACACGGGAACUGAGACACGGUCCCGACUCCUACGGGGGGCAGCAGUGAGGAAUAUUGGGCAAUGGGCGAAAGCCUGACCCAGCAACGCCGCGUGGAGGAUGAAGGCUUUAGGGUUGUAAACUCCUUUUGUGGGGGAAAAGAAUGGAUGGUACCCCAAGAAUAAGUCACGGCUAACUACGUGCCAGCAGCCGCGGUAAUGCGUAUGU